UUUCAACUACACCGUAAAUUUAAUGUGCAAAUGACAAUUAAAAGAAUCUUCAAUGAAAAAGGUUGUGAAAUAGAUGACUUAAACACAAUUAGAGAUAAUGAUGUGAUCUUUGUAUCAUCGGGAGAAGAUUUCAUACAUUGCAGUGAAAGCAAGAACUGGUCAGAGGGUAAGAGUUCUGACUGGAUAAAGCUCAAUGUGGGAGGCAAGCUGUUUACCACCUCUAAAAGCACUUUAAAGAGCAAAGAACCUGACAGCAUGUUAGCUAGAAUGUUUGCUGAAGAUGGUACAGGGUUUUUAUUUACUCCAAGUAACAUAGAUGAAAAUGGUGCAUAUCUCAUUGAUCGCAGCUCAACAUACUUUGAACCAAUUUUAAACUAUUUACGUAGUGGACAACUAAUAUAUGAUAAUAACAUAAACCCAGAGGGUAUUCUUGAGGAAGCCAGAUUCUUUGGUAUAGAAUCAGUAAUUCCAGUUUUAGAAGACAUAGUUUCAUUAAAUAAAAUUCCUAAAGAAAGACUGCCAUUAACAAGAAGAGAUGUUGUUAAUGCAUUAAUAUGUUGCCCUUGUUCUUCUGAGCUUCGAUUUCAAGGAGUAAAUUUAUCAGGUGCUGACCUAAGCAAAUUAGACUUAAGAAAUAUCAAUUUUAAAUAUGCUAAUAUGAGAGGUUGCAAACUUGCAGGUUCUAAUUUGAGUUAUUGCUGCUUAGAACGAGCUGAUCUUGCUGAUGCAGUUCUUGAUGGAGCUCAACUUUUGGGUGUGAAAGGUCUGUGUGCAAAUAUGGAAUGUUCUCAAUUGAAAAACUGUAAUUUUGAAGAUCCUUGUGGAACUAGGUCGAAUAUGGAAGGCGUUAAUUUAAAAGGAGCUAAUUUAGAAGGUAGCUGCAUGGCAGGAGUUAAUCUUAGGGUGGCUACACUCAAAAAUGCAAACUUAAGAAACUGUGAUUUAAGGGCUGCUGUGCUCGCUGGAGCUGAUCUCGAAAAUUGUGAUUUAUCUGGAAGUGAUUUACAAGAAGCUAAUCUUCGAGGAGCAAACUUGAAAGAUGCCAGUUUUGACUUUAUGUUAACACCACUCCAUAUGGCUCAAGCUAUUCGUUAAACGGCAAACAAUUGGCUACAGUUUAAUCCUAAAUCGUGGCUGAACUCCGAAAAGGUUACCUCUGAACGAAAAUUCCUUGCUUUCCUAUAAAAAAAAAGUACUUCGAACUAUUCACGAUCUCUGCUUCGACUGUUGACCAUGGAAGUGGACGCUACAAUAUUGCCCUUUUUACCUGGGAUUGUUCUUAUCAAAUCUUCGACACUACAUUGGAAAGGUACGAUUCAUUUUUUUUUUAUCUUCUUUAAAUUUAAAACUAAUUCCUCCCUUAUUAAACGAGCUGAAAGUACCAAAGUGUAUUAAAGUUGUUAUGGGAUAUCAAUGAAAAGAAUUUUUUUGUCGGAAGUUACCACGGUGCACUUCAACCCUCAAUUUAAAAACAUUAUUUUUAUAUUUUAAUAUAUCAAUUUCUCCCUUCUUAAACUAGUUGAAAGUGCCAAUAUGUGUUGAAGUUGUGGUAAGACAUCGGUGAACAGAAUUUUAUAGUUGGAAAUAACCGCAGUGCACUUUCAACCCCUAAUUUAAAAGCAUUAUUUUUAUACCUUGAUUAAUUAAUUUCUCCCUUGUUAAGUGAGCUGAAAGUUCCGAAAUAUGUUAAAGUUGUUAUAAGGCAUCUAUGAAAAGAAUUUCGUAGUUGGAAAUUACCGAAGUGGACAUUCAACCCCUAAUUUGAGAACUCAAUGUUCAUAUUUUCAUAAAUUUAUGUCUCCCUUAUUAAAACGAACUGAAAAUACUAAAAUGUAUUAAAGUUCUUCUAAGGCAUCAAUGAUAAUAAUUCUAUAGAUAGAAAUAACUGGGGUACACAUUAAUAUGUGUAUUAAUGAAGAAGUAUGAACUGUUUACUACUGUAAUGUAUAUGAGAAUGCUUUGCAGUAUAUUGGGUUGCCUGUACAAUAAUAUUAUUCCAAAUAAGCAACUAAUUUUUUCGAUUUUGUUAGGGUAGUCUAUUUAAAUAUGUUUUGUACUAAGAAAAUAACUUGUAAUUUAUAGUACAUAAUCUUUUGUGUUAUUUCGUCAUAUCUUUUUUCUUUUAGUUUGAGAAUUAAAUUAAGCAGAUCAUUGUCAAUAGGUGGAUCAAUUUCUUUUAACUUACGACUUAGAAUAAUUGAACGUACCCUUAAGGUUUUUACUCUAUGUAACAUGGCUAUAAAAAGAAUUGCCAUCUAUGGUUCUUCCGCCUAGUCCAUAGUUAGGCUUUGUGUAUCUAUUAUCUAUGGUUAGGCUAGUCUUGUCUUGUUUCCUGUAUUCAUGCCGUGUUGUUUUACUUGUUUUCGAGGCCAUGAGAGCUCCCCAUUUUUGCGAUCCAUAAAUGGAAACGAUGCCUGAAGACUUGGUUUGGGGUAACAUCCUCCAAUUAGAUGGACAAGCUUUUUACAUAUGUGAUGUUCGUAGCAGUCACUUUUAUUUCCAAAAAAGCGCCUAAUUGGUUAAAAAUAUUCGAAAAAAAGCAGAUUGGAUGUUAGCAAUGGUUUCCAUAAAAACACCAACAUGGAGAAGGCAAAACAAAAGGAUUUGGGAUGUGGAGAAGCAGAACCCCAUUCAUUCUUCCGCAUAGGCCUCGAAAGGAGCAAUUUGUAGAAAGGGGGUUGUCAUUUAAACAUAUUGAAUGGACAUGGAGUUCGAUUUACAGUGAGGCUGCAAUGUGAUGUUCUGUCUGUCUGCUAUGCGGCUUAUUUCACCAUCAGAGGUAUUAUUUUUCCUUUCAUAAACGUCUACUGUAAGAGGCACUUCUCUGUUGUUAACGCUUACGAAUAAAACUGGAGCAUCAUAGUGUAAUUCUCUAG